CCUACGGGUGGCUGCAGUGAGGAAUAUUGGUCAAUGGACGAGAGUCUGAACCAGCCAAGUAGCGUGAAGGAUGACUGCCCUAUGGGCUGUAAACUUCUUUUAUAUGGGAAUAAAAUGUUCCACGUGUGGGAUUUUGUAUGUACCAUAUGAAUAAGGAUCGGCUAACUCCGUGCCAGCAGCCGCGGUAAUACGGAGGAUCCGAGCGUUAACCGGAUUUAUUGGGUGUAAAGGGAGCGGAGGUGGAUUGUUAAGUCAGUUGUGAAAGUUUGCGGCUCAACCGUCAAAUUGCAGUUGAAACUGGCAGUCUUGAGUACAGUAGAGGUGAGCGGAAUUCGUGGUGUAGCAGUGAAAUGCUUAGAUAUCACGAAGAACUCCGAGUGCGAAGGCAGCUAACUGGACUGCAACUGACACUGAGGCUCGAAAGUGUGGGUACCAAACAGGAUUAGAUACCCCGGUAGUC
rnacentral:rRNA from 1 species